CUUGGAGAAUGAGCAGUUGUGGUUCUGCCUCACUUAUUGCUGUCCUGUGUUUCCAGAAGACUUGACCCCCUCAGAGGUGGAGUUGGAUUUGCGCCCCUGCCUUUUGGGUCCAAAUGUAAACCGCUCACCAUCCAAACUCAGGAAGAAGAAGGCAUCGUCUCCCUUGAUGAACUUCCUGCUCUUCAGUCUGCCGUGGCUGAGGAAGACAUUCGUGCCGGUGCCCGGCCCGCGGUAGUAGCUGCUGCCGUCGGCCUCUGUCACUUGAGAUCCCACUUUGCUGGGGUUGUCCCAGUAGUACUCUUUACCUGGGAGAGAGACAGAUGUUCAGCAGAUCAUCGGCGGCUCCGCUGUUGUACAGGAAGAACUGCAGACACUGGGCUCCAGGUUUGGGGUAAAGGAAGCGGCUCUCCAGAUGUGCACGGUCACCAGCUGUCCCAGACGCUGUGCUGAA